rnacentral:lncRNA from 1 species
AAGAAUGUCCGAACUCCCCUUCAUUAAACCUAGUAUCCCAUUGCGUUUCACUUCACCUCCUUCAGAGAAACCCCCCAUGCCCUCUCUGCCAUUUCCGCCGGUGCAACCUCCAAACCACCGCCAAACCUCGACCAAAAUCACAACCCCAGACUCCUUUUCAUACCCCUCUCUACAAAUUCCCCAGUAACUUCCCUUGAAUCACCACUAAACGAGGAUAAUUUCAGAUCUAAAAAGGGCCGAGGAGCGAAAGAAAAAUCUCCCAAAUCUUUGCAGGCUUCGAUGACUCGGCUAGGUCUGUAAUUGUUGUUUCUCGCCGGUUUAACAAGAACCCACGACUAAUAUCAAUUACGGUUCAAAAUCUAAGGAGUCAGAGAUCCUUUCAAGCCAUCUCCAUCCUUUGAUUUAGGUAUUUAAGUUUUUCUUUUGUUCUUCUCAUCUUCAUCUCUUCCGAUUUUCUGCUUCUUUUUCCUCUGUUUCUUUUUUGGGGUUAAUUGUUCUGUACACCUUUAAGAUUGAGUUAUAAUUGGUUUAAAAUAAUUGCUUUAUUAAACAUGUGUCGAUAUUUUAAGUUAUUUUCGAAAAAAAGAUAAGGAAAAAUGGUCUCAUGUUUCAAAUUCUGUGUUAAUUUGUUUGGACAGCCCGAUUAUAAUUUGAAUUGGGCUCAAAAUCAGAAGUCCAAGGGAGGGGGAAUUAAGUUGGGUUGACAGGCCCAAUUUUAGAACUUGGACUUUGGGCCAGCACCGACCCAUUUGGCUUCCCGCAGUAAAAACAGGGGUAUUGAGGGUUAAGGAAUAUAUCUGUUAACUGAUUAGGAAGCUGCUAGGAAGGUGUCUUGGGGACUUCACUAAAAAUACUGAUUUUAAGCUAGGGAUUGAAUAGCAAAAAGGAAAAUAUCAAAAGGUUUUAAGUGCAAAUAAGAAUCCCUUUUAUGCUGCCAUAAUAACUUGCCUAUAAAGGCAACCUUGCUUGCUUUUGAAGGCAGAAAAAAAUGACAAAAAGCACAAGCGGCUGGGGGAGUGAUUCUGAAAAAACACUGAAAUUCUGUAUCACUUGGGGUGGGAAUUGAUUUUGAAUCUGCUCCCUAAUCUUAAGUUUCAACUAGAAUUUGAAAAGGCUUCAACGAAUCCUUGUUUUAUCUGGGAAAAAUGGUUCAAAAAGCUGAAAUUGCUGGAUUUUUGGAAGCUGUUUGAUUGGUUUUACUGUUGAUCUCUGCUGCUAUACUUGCUAGCCUUGUGUCGUUCUAAGCUGAUUCUCAAGCUUUUGUUUAUCUUUGUUGUAACCAGGUACUCAUUCGACCUCAAUAACAUGUUGAAAUAGGAAUGAGAAUGUUGAUGGCACCAUGUUUUUAUGACAAUCUAUUUCAGAUUAUUUGGUUUUGUAUUCACGUGAGCCUUGUUGAUUAACUUCUGUGUAUUUUAAUAGCUGAUUCGAGUGGCUGUAGUACUCUACUAAAACUAAGUGUUGUAGUUUUAAUGUUGAUUAGUAGUAAGUCCUGGUCUCUGUUGUUCUAGCGUGUAAGAGAUGUGUAUUUCAUCUCAAAUUGGUUGAAAUUGUUAGAAAAAUCGAAGUACGAUACCUAUUUGAAUUAGUUUGAUCCCGGUUUUUAGCUAUGAAUGUUCGUGUUGGUGAAUCUAAUCAUGUUAGGCUUAAUUGAGAUUGGUUAAAUUCCCGUUUAAAUUUUGCAGAUUGCUUGGAAAUAAGAAUUGUUGGAAAUUUUUCAUAUGUCACCAGCUUGGUCACUAUUUUGUUUGAUAGCUAUUAGUGGUCCGUGUAAUCGCUGGAGCCUUACAUUGAAAUAUAAGGUUGAAUUGCUAAGUUAGAACUUAUCAUGUUUAUUC